rnacentral:lncRNA from 1 species
CGUUAUAUGAAAAUAAAUAUAAUUUGUUGUUGGCAAAAAAUUCUUCUAGAUUUUUAAUCCAAGGAUAGACACUGGUGUCAUGUUGCCAGGUUAACUGGAAUUUUUACCUGAUAAGCCUGAUGUACCCUUUCACCCCAAGACACACUUCUGUAUGGAUAACUGAUAUUUAAACCUCUCUUAUAGCAUGCAGUCUAUACAUAGGGACCUCUUAUGGUAGUUCAAGAAACCCACACAACUUUCUUCACUGGGACUCUAGAAAGAUGUGUGAACAACAUGGGACUUUGUGAACCAAUUCUCUGAUACUCUUUGGUUUGGUUCCAGUGAGUGUCUUAUAACAGAUUGGAUGAAAACAGGGCCCUUUAAAGCCAAUACAGUGGUACUGGAUCAAGUCACCACAAGUGAAAGUCAUACAGUCUGUCCUCUUUAUGAUCUCAGCCUUCCUUUCCUUGAAAUGUGUUUUUUCAGAUCCUUUCACCACCUUUCAGCCAUUUGUCAGGGAGGUUUUGCAGUAAAUAGAAUUGCAUUUUUUUAACCCAAGUAAACUGUCAUACCCUUGUUUGUUUUAACAUGUGCAUUGUGCAAAAAAUACAUACUUAUUUUUAAAAUAAAAAUAUAGAUGACAUCUCCUUUAUUUAUCAUCUAAACCUCAAAACACAUAUGAUUUCAAUAGCACUAUAAGAAACUGGUAUUUGUGAUCUAUGAAUCUGAAAAUAAACAGAUGUAUAUUUUUGCAAAGAGAAGUAUGUAUUCUAAAACAUGCUUCUGGUUCAAUCUGUUCCUUAAAUUUUCUCUGUAAGAGACAAGAAUCAAAGCAAUGCAUUCUCCUCUUAAGUUCCUUACAUUGCCAUACUAUAUUAUUCAAUUUCCUUCUAGCUGAAACAAAGGAACAUGUAAGGGAGAAUGUUUUGUUGUAGACCAGUACAGACUGCUUAACUCCAUAGGAGUUUGAAGUGCAUUGAAAUUUGAAAUAGUAAAAUCGGCAGCUUAUUUGCUCUUGUCAAGAAGCGUAUGAACACAUCUAUAGAUGCAAAAGCCACAGAGUCUAACAGACAUAAUUUCUACAUUUCACUGUUGCUUCCACCACUUGAUCUUGCCUUUAGUAUAGAAAAAAUAAAUCAAACGGCAAACUUUUGCUUCUGGGUUUUCAGUAAAGAGGUCAAAAUGCUUGGGUUUAUUAGAACAUGUUAACUCUGCUUUUGUCUUUAUUAGCCAGGGUGGAGGAACUUUUUACAGGCUGUGCUAGUGCUAUAUUUUAUGAAAACAAAAAAAGGAGAUGUUAGUAUCAUAAAGCUCUUCUUACACUUAGCUUCCUGUGAUCAUCAGAAAGACUACCCAGACCUCAUUUAUGUAUGUGUGUAUGUUUGGAUUCAGGGUCCUGAGCACACAUUCUUAAGCACUGGUGAGAUCAAAUUCUUAAUAGUUUCAUCUUAAAACGCCCCCUACAGAAAUCAGCCCAUCAAUGGAUUAUCUUCAAAGUCUUACUGCUGACAGUUGAUAGUAAAAAAGGGACAGGAAUUUAUUUUAUUAAGUCUUCAGUGUUGGGGAUGGGGUUGUAGCUCAGUAGUAGCGUGCUUGCCUAGCAUAUGUGAUGCACUGGGUUUGAUUCUCAGCACCACAUACAAAAAAACAAAGGUCCAUCUCAACUAAAAAAUAUUUUUUAAAAAGUCUUUGGUAUUACUGCUUCCAGUUUCUAUCUACUCCUUUUUAGUUUGAUUUGUCAUGGUUUGUCUAAUUAUAUAAUAAGACCUUGCCACUUCUCCAUUCAGACAGCUUGAAUUUGCAUCUCAGUUUUACCACAAUGUGACUGAAGAGUUAUUUACCCCAGGUUCUCAAUCACCUCAUCUGUAUAAUAGUG